UACGAAGGGAGCUAGCGUUGUUCGGAAUUACUGGGCGUAAAGCGCAUGCAGGCGGAUCGUUAAGUCGGGGGUGAAAUCCCGAGGCUCAACCUCGGAACUGCCUUCGAUACUGGCGAUCUUGAGUCCGGGAGAGGUGAGUGGAACUGCGAGUGUAGAGGUGAAAUUCGUAGAUAUUCGCAAGAACACCAGUGGCGAAGGCGGCUCACUGGCCCGGUACUGACGCUGAGGUGCGAAAGCGUGGGGAGCAAACAGG
rnacentral:rRNA from 1 species